UCCAGUCUGCCUUAGCUUGGCCUGCUCCUGUGGACUUUGGGUUUCUUUAUUGAUCUGAAAUUCUUCUCCCGUCAUGUGGUUUUCUUUAUCUGUUCAUGGCUAUAUUUUCCCUUCUUGACCAUGUGGAUUGUUUCCUUCUGCAGCCUCUACUGUUCAAACAGGAGUUUUGUUUUUUGUUUUUUGUUUCUUCUCAUCCGGUUCCAGAGGAGAGGAAUGUGGAUUUCGCACAGACUGAGGAGGGAAACUUGGCGAAGAUCAGGGAAGGCCGAGGGUUCCCAGGAGCCUCCCGUUGGAUCGUGGAAUGACCGCCACUGGCCUUGGGCUCCCCGUCCCGUUCCCAGACUUCUGGCUCAGCUCGGGGGAGCAGGACAGAGGAAGCGGGGUACCUUGUCGGUCCAGGUAGGUCUUGCCGUGUUGCAGGAACCUCCGCAGCAUCGCGGGGCACUCCUCUUCCAGGUAAGCCUUGGCCCGCAGCACGUACACUUCUUCCGCCUCCCACUUCUGCUUGGUGAUCAGAGCGGCGGGGUCCUGGGGGACCCAGGCGGGGAUUUCUUUGUUGAACUCGAUGAAGUUCCUUCCGUCAUAGGCAUACCUCCAGAAUGCUCCGCUGUUUUUGUCAUUCCGCAGCUCACAGCCAAACAUUCCCUGAAAGGUGUGAGACCCUGCACCCUCCCCGGCCACCCCCGGGGAAGUUAGUCAGCUUGGCACGCACUGCACUGUGUUUUAAUAACUUUCAGUGCUACUCAGUUUGCAGAAACAACAGGAAGCAAGGUUUUGGAGAUCUAAGCACGUGGUCCCUAUGUUUUGGCGAAUGAGUUAUGAGCCAGUCAUAGAGCAGAAGACGGAAAGGUGCUUUGGUUUGGUGUUUCAGGCCCCUCUGGGCUAAAAUGCAUCCUUCCUGGCGGGGAGGGUCAGGGAGACCAGACCACAUACCCUGUUCCCAGCUCCCCUGUUCCCGCGGUUAGUGAACUGCGAAUACCCUGGGGGUUCUUAGGAACCCCACAGAACCACACUGAAGUGCCAUCUCCAAGUUAAACAAAUUACUUGGAGUUUAACACAGAUUCCCUAAUCUCUCCUUUUUUUCCUCUGUUCUAAGUGGAGCGGAUGUCACCAAUUGGGUAAACUCUUUCCUGGGGUUUGCUAUCCUCAUCAGGAAUCUCCGAGCCCCCUCUCUGCCCAGGGAGCCACAAGUCUUGGAACCUGGCCUCCUCUGGGAGGGGGGACACGACCGGUGGGGACCUGAUACCGAUUAGCGCUGUGGGCUCAGGCUCUGAUCUCCAGCUCCCUGGGCUCAAACUGCAGAUCUCUCUGAGCGCCGACCUGGCUUGAACGUGAGCAUUUAACCUCCCCCUGCUUUGGUCUUCUCCGCUUGCCAACAGCAGCGGCCAUGUACGGGUUCAGAGGGUUGCUGGGAGCGCUACCAGCCGGCGUCAGCACCCGUGCCCGGCACACAGUAGGUGGGGAUGGGGGUGUCCCGGCUCCCCAUCUUCCUCCUACCAUAAGUCCAUGAGGCCUCCCGAGUCUGUUCCUUACAGUCAGGAAGGUCUUCAGGACUUCAUGUAACUCUAUCAGUGUGUGGCUUUGAAGUCAGUCCCUGCUGAGCUCCCAGUAUGGGCCACGGAUUGUGUGAGGCAUUUUCUCUCAAUCAUUCAAUAUAUUUCACCGGAGCAGGUUAUUCGUGGCCGUCCCAGGUGAUGGGACGAUCAGGGAGACCAAGACCGACGAGGUUCUAGCCUUCAUGCAAUUGGCAGAGCUAAUGACUGGCCGCGACACGAUGCGAACCA